CAGCCGCCGCGGUAAUCCGAAGGGGGCUAGCGUUGCUCGGAAUCACUGGGCGUAAAGGGUGCGUAGGCGGGUCUUUAAGUCAGGGGUGAAAUCCUGGAGCUCAACUCCAGAACUGCCUUUGAUACUGAAGAUCUUGAGUUCGGGAGAGGUGAGUGGAACUGCGAGUGUAGAGGUGAAAUUCGUAGAUAUUCGCAAGAACACCAGUGGCGAAGGUGGCUCACUGGCCCGAUACUGACGCUGAGGCACGAAAGCGUGGGGAGCAAACAGGAUUAGAUACCCCCGUAGUCCCUGUCUCUUAUAC
rnacentral:rRNA from 1 species